ACCAGCAUAGUCAUUCUCAUAGUGGCAGUCACCGUCACCAUCUUGGCAUUUACUUUGGGUUGUGCUACAGCAAAAACAUAAGAGAAGAAAAUCUAUGCAGACAUGAAUAUAUUUUACACUUCCAAACUCAGCCUGGCAGAGAUUGGCAUUGGACAGACCACCAAGUGCUUGAAGAAACAGUGACUCCUAGUCCCUUUUGCCGUAGACUUAGACACCAAGCAGUCAAUAACGUCCAGGGAAACAGAAGUGGCUUCUCUCUCCCAGGCACAGAAAGAGCCCAGCACAGUACAGUUCCACUGGGACCAGGACCAAGUCCCUGCUGGGUCCUUUGAGUGUUACCUCAUCUAUGAUGGCAGCUGUCCUUACUCUCUGGCACUGUUGUCCUGCGAGAAGAGAGAAAGCACCUGGAAAGCUGAGGACAAGAGACCUGUCACAAAGGCAGCUACGUACGUCGAGGCAGUCUCCAAGCUGGAAAGAUCUGAGUCCCAUUCCUGCUGCUGAAUUCCAGAGUGCACUCCAGUGACCAAGUCUACCACUGAACUACCAGAAAUAUCCCAGAGGAGUCUUCCUCGCACCCUGAACAAGCAGCCUUGCCAUGGGUGUGGGCACAUAGGAUGGACUUCAAAAUGCUAUUAGAUUCUUGUUACAGGCCUUCAGCAGGUCUCCUGCAGAUACCCCAUCAAGAGUUCCUUGCUAAAGAGGUCAUUGGACUCCGUGUUACUCACUGCCAGGCAUCAACGGAAAAAAAACUGAGCCAAUCCUGGAUGAGACUCAUAGAUACCUGCAGCUUCAGGGAUCCCAAGUGGUGAAUUCAGAAGCCCUGAGAGCCCACAUCCAAGGCAGAAGAGCCAGAAGGACAUAAGGGCAACAAACAAUGAUGAUCUCCUUCCACAGCCAGCUCAAGAGCACAGGCCAUCAGCAAGGGUCUGGAUCUGGACUACAGCCUCUGUACAAAAUGAGCAUAGGAUUCCUGCUGCUUUUACCCACCCUCUAAUCCAAAGGACUUUCUACUUGCCCUCUGGGGUAGGGGGAAGUAGCAAAACAACCCCUGCUAAGAGACAUGCCCUGCUCAUGGACAAAGUCCUCAGGGAUUAUAAAAACAGUUUCUCUAGUAA